UAUAUUAAAUGUUAAUAUGUUUUCAUAAAUUUUAUAAUCAGCUUUCAGUAUAAGACAACUUUGUAGGAGUUUGUUAUAUAAGGUAGGUGCGUCUAAAAAGGGCCGGUUCCAAAUAAGGUCCAUCUUUUCAAACUUUACCCAGUUAAUACUUAAAUUAAAACGGAUACCGCGCGUCGCCUCCCCAGUAACCAAUCACAAAAGUGCACCGACGUUCAUUGCUUUCGCGCCGACCAUUUUGUCAGUGGCACUGUGUGUAGCGUAGCCUCAGAGGCGGUCAAAGUGUCUCAAUUUAUAAAAGUUCUGAUUCAAUUUUCUGUGUUUUAGUAAUAAAACCCUGUCGUUUUGUCAUAAUUCUGAAAUAGUAAUGUUAACAUACUUUCAGAACAUGGAUUGGCAAGUAAAGGCAAGAAUAGAACCUUUGCAAAAUAGAAAUUGGGGCGCAGGAUGGUCUCAAACUGAUUUUCAAGAUGAUAUAAAAACAACGAAAUAUCUGAGCGUGCAACAGCUAUAAACUACAACAUACCACGGCGAACAUUAAAAAAUCAUAUAAAAUCUGGAAGCGUGGUGAUGAAAAUGGUUUUCUUAGCUUUGAUGAUGUCAUGCCACUAUCAGAAUAAUAAAAAAAGAUCUGAUACUCAAGAGUCAACUUUUAAAGAGUUUCUAACUAAGGCAAAGCCGAGACGAAAAGCAUUAAAUUACGUCAGACUGAAAAUAACCAAAGAUUUAUUCAAAAAAAGUCAAGCAAUAAUACAAAAAGCCCUGCCAGACUAAAAAUUAUAACAACAAUACUAAUGGUCAAAAACAGAGGCGGCUCAUCCGAAAGAGCGCUGGUGCAGUGCACUCCCACGAAAAUUACAUACUUAGCUAAUUUAAUAAUUUAUAUAUAUUUAUAAUACAUAAGAUCCUUACA